AACGGCGAGUGAACAGGGAAGAGCCCAGCGCCGAAGCCUCCGUCCCGCGCGGGCGGCAGGCAAUGUGGCGUUCGGGAGAAACCUCUCCUUCCGGAAACUGUCCGGGAGCCCAGGUCCCCCUGACCGGGGCCAUCGCCCGUUGAGGGUGCAAGGCCCGUGCGGCUCUUGGCGUCCGGAGGACGGUUUUUUUCUCCCGGGAGUCGGGUUGCUUGGGAGUGCAGCCCUAAGAGGGUGGUAAACUCCAUCUAAGGCUAAAUACUUCCACGAGACCGAUAGCAAACAAGUACCGUGAGGGAAAGUUGCAAAGAACUUUGAAGAGAGAGUUCAAGAGUACGUGAAACCGCUCGUAGGUAAACGGGUGGGCCCUCGAAGGCAAGCAGGAGGGGAUUCAACCCGUUGGCAAUCGACCGUGCGCCGCGGUUUUUCUCGAAACGGAUCCGAGAGACCGGCCCGUGGCGCCGCGGUCGUCAGCGGGCGCACUUCCCCUUCUCGCGUCCCGUCCUUCUGGGCGGGACCGAACGCCGCGACCGGUCGGGAGAAACGACGGCGGCCAAGCGGCGAGAUUGGGCAGGUAUCCUACUCGUCCUUUCUGUUUUUCCCUUCGGGGUUGGCAGGAUUGCUUGUAGGAGAGCUUUCAGCCCGUCUCGACCCGGCUCCGCCGCCCGACCGUGGUCUAGAACCGAGGUUCGACAACCGCGCAUGCGCUUUGACGCUCGAGCCCGUCCCGCACGUAGGGUUUUCUGGCCGCCGAUAGAUCCAUAAAACCUCCCCCCCGCUCACGGCGGUUACACGAAGCGGUCGCCCUGCGUUGUGUACCCCUUUAGGACGUGUGCUCUCGUUUUUUGUUCCAAAAAAAGCAGCGCUUGUGGUCGGCGGCGAGUAGGUCGGUAACCCACCCGACCCGUCUUGAAACACGGACCAAGGAGUCUAACAUGUGUGCGAGUCGUAGGGUUCGUCCGAAACCCGAAGGCGCAGUGAAAGUAGAGGUCGGCUCUAUGCUCGGCCGAGGCAGGAUCCGUCGUUCUCUUUCCUUUUACCCGGGCACAUUCCCCUAACUCCGGUUAGGGUGUGUGUUUUUUUGGUCUGUAACUGGAAGUCGGCGGCGCACUGCCGGCCCGUCUCGACCGCCACGUCGGUGAGGCGGAGCAAGAGCACACACGUUGGGACCCGAAAGAUGGUGAACUAUUCCUAGGCAGGACGAAGCCAGAGGAAACUCUGGUGGAGGUCCGUAGCGUUUCUGACGUGCAAAUCGAUCGUCAGACCUGGGUAUAGGGGCGAAAGACUAAUCGAACCAUCUAGUAGCUGGUUCCCUCCGAAGUUUCCCUCAGGAUAGCUGGCUCUCGAGACACACAGUCUCAUCCGGUAAAGCGAAUGAUUAGAGGCCUUGGGGCCGAAACGACCUCAACCUAUUCUCAAACUUUCAAUGGGUGAGAAGUCCGGCUUGCUCGACUGAAGCCCGGACGAUAACGGAUGCGAGUGCCCAGUGGGCCACUUUUGGUAAGCAGAACUGGCGCUGUGGGAUGAACCAAACGCCGGGUUACGGCGCCAAAUGCGACGCUCAUCAGACACCAUGAAAGGUGUUGGUUGCUAUAGACAGCAGGACGGUGGCCAUGGAAGUCGGAAUCCGCUAAGGAGUGUGUAACAACUCACCUGCCGAAGCAACUAGCCCUGAAAAUGGAUGGCGCUCAAGCGUCGAGCCUAUACCCGGCCGCCGGGGCAGAGCCCGUCCAAACGGCCCCAGAAGCCCCGGCGAGUAGGAGGGUCGCGGCGGUGAGCGGAAAAGGGUCGGGCGCAGGCCCGCCUGGAGCCUCCGCCGGUGCAGAUCUUGGUGGUAGUAGCAAAUACUCGAGUGAGAACCUUGAGGACUGAUGUGGAGAAGGGUUCCAUGUGAACAGCAGUUGAACAUGGGUCAGUCGGCCCUAAGGAAUAGGGAAAUCCCGUUCCGAACGGGGGGUUGGUACAUAAACAAAAUUUUCCAAAAGAAAAAAAACCCCCGCCCAGACCGAAAGGGAAUCGGGUUAAUAUUCCCGAACCCGGACACGGAGAUCGGGCCCUUUGUGGUCCAGUGCGGUGACGCAAACAUCCUCGGAAACGUCGACGGGAGUUCCGGGAAGAGUUGUCUUUUCUUUGUAAGGGACGGAAUCCCUGGAAUCGGUUCGCCCGGAGAUAGGGAUGUGGUUUCCGUAAAGCACCGCGCCUCCUGCGGUGUCCGGACAGCUCUCGUCGGCCCUUGAAAAUCCGAGGAAGGUAGUGCGAUUUUCGUGCCGGGCCGUACCCAUAUCCGCAGCAGGUCU
rnacentral:rRNA from 1 species